UUAUUUAAUUUAAUACAUCUCGCUCUCUCUCGAAAAAUAAUAAUAAAAAAAAAACAUAUCUCUCUCUAUUUAUAUCAUCCAAUUCUUUCUUAUAUGCGAUAACUUAGAAGAGUAUAGAGAAAGAAAGAAUUUCAACAAGGAGAGCAGAAAGAAGAAAUCUAGUGUGAUCUAAAAGAGUACUAGUGCGCGGCCUCAUCUUAUGAUCUCAUGCACCUCCAACUGUUGAAGCUGCCAGCAUGAUCUACCCUUUGCUACAAAUUAAUAAUUAAUUAAGAACAGAGUAGAUCAUGUGGCAGUUUCAUCUGUUGAUGGGAAGCAUGAUACAAAAUAACCCUAUUAAAAUCCUUAAUCUCAUCACCUUGCCUCUUCUGACCUUUCUUCCCUCUAUUAGGAUAUUGUUUUUAGCAGUACUAUUGGCGAUCAGUGUGCCUAAAUCAACUAGGUGUGGUGUGAUUUCUCUAAAAUUUAUUACUAAAUUACAUUUGAGAAUUUAAGCAACACGGGGCGGUUUAGAAAAAAUUAAGUUAUGGAGGCGGAGAUGGCUUCGGAAAGUGUGCCAUAAUAAUAUUGUUCAGCUAGUUUUUCUGAUGCACAUCUCUCGGUAUGUAAAAUUAUCUGUUUCAGAUUUUUAAGGAUAUAUGUACUUCCAGACUUAAUUAUUAUUUCAUGUAUAUGCUUACGCCUAUAUAUAUAUAUGUAUUUCUUUUUUGCUAAGAUGGUUCAAAAGAAUAUAUGUUAUUGUUGUGAGCAUAUAUGUACACUAUAGCUCUAUAGCAGUGCCAGAGCUAUUACGUGAUGAUUUAUAUAUUAAUUUAAACAUGGGUUUGAAA